rnacentral:rRNA from 1 species
GAUGAACGCUGGCGGCGUGCCUAAUACAUGCAAGUCGAGCGAACAGACGAGGAUCUUGCUCCUCGGAUAUUAGCGGCGGACGGGUGAGUAACACGUGGAUAACCUACCUAGAAGACUGGGAUAACUGCGGGAAACCGGAGCGAAUACCGGAUAACAUGAUGAACCGCAUGGUUCAAGAGUGAAAGACGGUCUUGAUGUCACUUAUAGAUUGAUCCGCGCCGCAUUAGCUAUUUGGUAAGGGAACGGCAUAACAAGGCAACGAUGGGUAGCCGAUCUGAGAGGGUCAUCCGCCAGCCGAGAUGUGAGACACAGUCCAGACUCCUACGGGAGGACGCAGUAGGGAAUCUUACGCGAGGGGCGAGAGCCUGACGGAGCAACGCCGCGUGAGUGAAGAAGGUCUUCGGAUCGUAAAACUCUGUUGUAAGGGAAUAACAAAUGUGUAAGUAACUAUGCACGUCUUGACGGUACCUAAUCAGAAAGCCACGGCUAACUACGUG